rnacentral:siRNA from 1 species
CUACUUUUUGGGUCACUGGAUC